GAUGAACGCUGGCGGCGUGCCUAACACAUGCAAGUCGAGCGAUUUACUUCGGUAAAGAGCGGCGGACGGGUGAGUAACGCGUGGGUAACCUGCCCUGUACACACGGAUAACAUACCGAAAGGUAUGCUAAUACGAGAUAAUAUACUUUUAUCGCAUGGUAGAAGUAUCAAAGCUCCGGCGGUACAGGAUGGACCCGCGUCUGAUUAGCUAGUUGGUAAGGUAACGGCUUACCAAGGCGACGAUCAGUAGCCGACCUGAGAGGGUGAUCGGCCACAUUGGAACUGAGACACGGUCCAAACUCCUACGGGAGGCAGCAGUGGGGAAUAUUGCACAAUGGGCGAAAGCCUGAUGCAGCAACGCCGCGUGAGCGAUGAAGGCCUUCGGGUCGUAAAGCUCUGUCCUCAAGGAAGAUAAUGACGGUACUUGAGGAGGAAGCCCCGGCUAACUACGUGCCAGCAGCCGCGGUAAUACGUAGGGGGCUAGCGUUAUCCGGAAUUACUGGGCGUAAAGGGUGCGUAGGUGGUUUCUUAAGUCAGAGGUGAAAGGCUACGGCUCAACCGUAGUAAGCCUUUGAAACUGGGAAACUUGAGUGCAGGAGAGGAGAGUGGAAUUCCUAGUGUAGCGGUGAAAUGCGUAGAUAUUAGGAGGAACACCAGUUGCGAAGGCGGCUCUCUGGACUGU
rnacentral:rRNA from 1 species